rnacentral:piRNA from 1 species
UCACCGUAAACCAACUCAGCCGACGAAGA